UACGUAGUCUGCGACAUACA
rnacentral:rRNA from 7 species